rnacentral:other from 2 species
AGUUCCCUGAGGUGAUCGAGAUUCGGUUAUGUCCUCGAGCCGAUAAUCACACCCCGGUAACCACUAGAGGGUAUUGUGAGCAAGUCCCUUGCCUGUUUUGAUCUGUCAGAUCAGGCAACAGGGAAAGCCUGAUGUAUCACAGCGGUUACCACCUUGAACCAGUGGGUUCAAGGCCUUACCUGAUCACGACACCGCGGGGCACUU